AGUCUAUUUAGUAUUUGUUUUAUUGAGGAGAAAAAAAACAGACAAGAACGCAUAUUGUGUUGCGCCUGCGCUGUGACGUUCUUUUUUCAACCGCAUUUCCAGUCGAGAGGUCAAGAAUGCUCCUGUCUGCAUCAGGUAAGAAUUUAAAUAAAAAAUUACCGUUAUAAUAUGAUAUCUAUUUUUCAUUUAGUGUAAUAAACUUUAGCAUUAAUUGUGCAGGAGACUGUUCAUUUAAACUUUAUUGUGGUAACGUUAAAUGCUCGCUCGUUUUGCAAAGUUACGUUUGGAGAUUCAUGUUAACAGUCAUUGUUUAAUGAAAGGCACAUUGGACUACGGGUUAGUAUGUGUGACACUUGCAGCACUUUAACGUAAAUCUUUAACACCGUGUCAUAAAUAGACGUGACACGCGGUAACGGGUUUCUUUUCAGUUUAUGUCCUGACGUUAAUAGGACGGGAUAUUAUAAAUUAUGCCUUUCGGUUAUCGCGACGCCUCGUCGCGUUUGGUUAAGCACAUGUUGGAUCAGUAUGCACGUCACUGUACCUACUGUACACCUGUGAGCGGCAUGACGAGACAAAAGACGCUAUCCAUCUGAAAAAGAAAAGCUGGCACUCGCAAAGGAGAUUGUGUUGUUGGAUUAUGGUCUCAUUUGGUCAAAAUGAGGGACAUGUACUACUACAGAACAUCAGACGGAAGCUUCAAUGGAGUUGACGUGAGAGGACAUCAUCAAUAAAGAAUGCCAUUGACCAAACCUUCAGUCAUCAACGGAGAUGGAUACAGGUGGACAUCAAGUUUUCCAGACUUACCGAUAGGAAAGAAGACAUGUUUAUCAGGAAAUGGGAGGUGACAACUAUUGAGAAACUCAGGAAAAUAGCAUCUUUAGAGAAGAAAAUGGACAUCAGACAUUCAUUGAAGAAAGCUGACAGUCAACAUAAUGAUCUUCUGCUGUGUGAAUUCUGUGUGAAGUCUAAGCGGUAAGCUGGUGGCGGCUGGUACCAGCGUGACCUCUUUGCUUACUAAAUCAUGAAAAGGUGUCUAAAAUCAGCUCAGCCACAGUUGGUUUCCAGCGGUUCUUCAGGACAUAGAGGCCACUAUGUAAUUGUCGCAAUGAAUGAUUCUCUUGCCUUUCCACUUGAUGUUUACAAUCUGACCUGUGCGGUAGAAAGACUUUUCAAAUUUACUAGCUAAGUAACCUUAAGUAUCCCUGCCAACUGUCUUCAGGUUUUUUUUUGGUAUGAAUAUGAUCUACCCUUGUCCCAGUCCUCUUGCAAACGAUCCAAGCCAAUGGAGUUUCAAAAUGGACCGAAAAUUGCAGUCUGUUUUAACCAAUGCAUGCACUGUGUGGCGGUUUCCCGGACAGGGAUUAGACUAGUCCUAGACUAAAACAUUUUUAAGAGCUGUCCAAACUGAAAACAACUUGCACUGACAUAUCUUAAAAUACACCAGUGCCCUUUGUUUUGCCUCAAAAUGCACACAGGUAAUGUUUUUAGUAAGGCAUGUUUGUUAAAACCAGAUAUAUUUCCUAAUUAAUCUAAGGCCUAGUCCUGGAUUAAGAUAAUCCCUGUCCGGGAAACCACCCCUAAAUAUUUUGUGAUGGAAAUUUCUUUGAAUACACUUGUCAAGUUCAUUUGAAGUAUUUUUCUUAAUGUAAAAUAACGUGUUAAUGUUUCAGGACAAGGUAAGAAUUGUUGAUAACUUGUAUGUUGAAAACGAUUUCAGACAUUGUUUCAACAUGUUUAACACAUGUGCUUUUAAAUUCAAUGAAUUAUUUUAUAAAUGGUGUUUUUUUAUGUAUGAAUGUAAUGUAUGUUUGAAGUGAUUAUACUUGCACUUAAAUUUAUUUAAAUUAGCAUACAUCUUGCAGCAUAAAGUACUAGCAUAUUUUCAUGCUAGCAUUAAUUGUCAAAUAUUUAUUAUUAUACAAAUAAAUGUUGUGAACAAUA